rnacentral:rRNA from 1 species
CAAUGGCACUGCCCGGUAGCUAAAUGCGGAAGAGAUAAGUGCUGAAAGCAUCUAAGCACGAAACUUGCCCCGAGAUGAGUUCUCCCUGAGACUAUAAGUCUCCUGAAGGAACGUUGAAGACGACGACGUUGAUAGGCCGGGUGUGUAAGCGCAGCGAUGCGUUGAGCUAACCGGUACUAAUGAACCGUGAGGCUUAACCUUACAACGCCGAAG